rnacentral:rRNA from 1 species
AUUGAACGCUGGCGGCAGGCCUAACACAUGCAAGUCGAGCGGAGCGGCGGACGGGUGAGUAAUGCCUAGGAAUCUGCCUGGUAGUGGGGGAUAACGUCCGGAAACGGGCGCUAAUACCGCAUACUAUCAGAUGAGCCUAGGUCGGAUUAGCUAGUUGGUGGGGUAAAGGCCUACCAAGGCGACGAUCCGUAACUGGUCUGAGAGGAUGAUCAGUCAAAAUGGAACUGAGACACGGUCCAGACCCCUACGGGAGGCAGCAGGGGGGAAUAGUGGACAAUGGGGGAAAGCCUGAUCCAGGCAUGCCGCGUGGGGGAAGAAGGGCUUCGGGUUGUAAAGCACUUUAAGUUGGGAAGCGUUUCCCACAGAAAAAGCCACGGCUAACUUCGUUCCAGCCGCCGCGGUAAUAC